rnacentral:rRNA from 1 species
GACAGAGGAGGCGAGCGUUAUCCGGAGUUAUUGGGCGUAAAGGGUACGUAGGCGGCUGGUCAAGUCUGGGGUUAAAGACCACAGCUUAACUGUGGGGGGGCCUUGGAAACUGACCGGCUGGAGUGGGGCAGGGGUUGCGGGAAUUCCCGGUGUAGCGGGGAAAUGCGUAGAUAUCGGGAAGAACACCUGAGGCGAAAGCGCGCAGCUGGGCCCUAAAUGACGCUGAGGUACGAAAGCUAGGGGAGCGAAUGCG